rnacentral:lncRNA from 1 species
UUUCCCUUCCCUGGAAAACAGUAGGAAGAAAAUGAGUAAAGAGAAAGAGAUAAAAGAAUAAAGCAUAGUUUAAUGGGUAGUUGGAGAAAGGAAUAGAGGCUUAAAAGGUUGGAGGAAAACAAAAGAAGCAAGAGUUUACGAAACUGUGGUUAAAGAAAGUCACAAGGCCAGCUGGGGAAGCUUAUUUUAAAGCAUUAUAUCAAAAUGAAAGGUAUUUAAUAGUUUGAAUUGGUCCCUCAUGACAGCUCCUCUUUAACGACUCACUUUCACUAUAAGUACUAAGUAUUUCAUGCAGCUUUUGUCAGUCAUAUCAUCACUAACACCAUAACCUCUUUCUUCUUCUCCUUCCACCAAUUUCAGUGAGGAUCUGAGAAGAAGCAUUGCUCAGAGGAACUCAGCUUUUUCCUUCUACGCAUGACUGCAAGGGGCAGAGACCCCUCAUGGGGUCUUCUCUGGCCGCAAAUGGCCCUCGCAUUUUCCAUUGCUCUCCUUUCUUUCACUGUGGUUUCUGUCAAUGCUGAUGGUUACCCUUACUAUUCUCCUCCUCCUCCUUACGAGUACAAAUCACCACCUCCUCCACCUUAUGAGCACAAGUCUCCUCCUUAUGAGUACAAGUCUCCACCUCCCCCAUCUCCAUCUCCUCCUCCUCCUUACGUCUACAAGUCUCCACCUCCACCACCAUAUGAGCACAAGUCUCCUCCAUAUGUGUACAAAUCACCACCUCCUCCAUCUCCUUCACCACCACCUCCUUACGUCUACAAGUCUCCACCUCCUCCUCCUUAUGUCUACAAGUCUCCACCUCCUCCUCCUUACGUCUACAAGUCUCCACCACCACCUCCUUAUGUCUACAAAUCUCCCCCUCCACCACCAUAUGAGCACAAGGCUCCACCAUAUUAUUACAAGUCACCACCACCUCCUUCCCCAUCUCCUCCACCUCCUUAUUACUAUAAAUCUCCUCCACCACCCUCUCCCUCACCUCCUCCUCCCUACUACUACAAGUCUCCACCACCUCCUUCACCAUCUCCUCCUCCACCCUACUACUACAAGUCCCCACCACCUCCUUCACCAUCUCCUCCUCCACCCUACUACUACAAGUCCCCACCACCACCCUCCCCAACUCCCUACUACUACAAGUCCCCACCACCACCAUCUCCAACUCCCUACUACUACAAGUCUCCACCACCACCAUCUCCAACUCCUUACUAUCCAUCCCCCACUCCUUACUACUACAAGUCUCCACCACCACCAUCCCCAACUCCCUACUACUACAAGUCUCCUCCUCCUCCUUCACCUACUCCUUACUACUACACUUCUCCACCACCACCCAAAUAUCCACCUCCCUACUAUUAUAACUCCCCUCCUCCACCUGUUGUGUAUCCCCCACACCCCUACCACCCCCACCCCUUGAUUGUCAAGGUAGUGGGUAAAGUCUACAGCUACAAGUGCUAUGACUGGGAGUAUCCCGAGAAGUCUCACAACAAGAAACACCUCAAAGGUACACACCUUAUUUUUCUCAUUUACAAUGCCUUCCAAUUAAUGUUCUCUGUGUUACCAUCAAACUGUUACUUUCCUGCUUCUUUGAUGUUCAUUAGCAGCCGCUUUUUGGAGUUAGGAGACUCCUAUGUUUCCAUAAUGGAAAUGUCUUUGUUUUUAAAAUUCAGUCACUUUCACAACCACCUUUUCUUAUCUGUCUGUUUUUCUUAUAAUUAACCUUUUGAGGUUAAUUAACGUGUUAAUAAGGUUUGAGGGAAAAAAACUGAACAGAUUCAGAGCGUCUAGAGUAAUGCACAAGUGAACAUUUUAUAAUGUGGUUAAUAGGCAUUUUAUAAUUUUAAUGAUAUAUUUAUCUGCAUUGAUCUGUGCAAGUAUCUUUAUAUAAAUUAAACAAAGAUACUAAAUAAAUGUCUUAGAUUAUGUGUGAUUAUCUCCAAAAGGAGAUUCAUAAAAAGGAAAAGAAAAACAGAAAUAUAAUUUAGAAGAAUCGGCUAAUGCCUGUAAUACAUUAAGAAAUAAUCAACUAGACACUUUAUAUAUGAACCUUUAAAUGAUUCUUAAUAUAUAAUAUAAUAUGGUAUCUGACAAAACUUUCACUUUAAUGAUAACUUGGUGUGUGGUAUGAUCUAUGAAUUGGAAUUAAGCAUUUUGGGGUGAAUGCAGGUGCUACUGUUGAGGUUAAAUGCAAAGCAGGAAGAAACAUCAUUAAGGCUUAUGGUGAAACUAAGAGCAAUGGAAAAUACAGCAUCACAGUUAAGGACUUUAACUAUGUGAAAUAUGGAUCCGUAGUGUGCAAGGCCAAGCUUUAUGCCCCACCUAAGGACUCUCCAUUCAACAUACCUACAAAGUUGAACGAGGGAACAGAGUUGAAGGUCAAAUCCAAAGACAAAUAUGAAGUUGUGUUGAAGGCUAAGCCAUUUGCUUAUGCUUCAAAGAAGCAUUUCAAAGAAUGUGAAAAGCCUAAGCCUUCACCAACUCCAUACUAUUACAAGUCACCUCCUCCUCCAUCUCCAGUUUACAUAUACAAGUCACCACCUCCUCCAUCACCUACUUAUGUUUACAAGUCACCACCACCACCAGUGAAGUCACCUCCCUAUUACUAUCAAUCUCCACCUCCACCAUCACCAAAACCUCAGCCUCCUUAUUAUUAUCACUCUCCACCUCCUCCAACACCAGUUGUUAAGCCACCAUACUACUACCAAUCUCCACCUCCUCCAUCUCCAAAACCUAAGCCUCCAUACUACUACCAAUCUCCUCCUCCUCCAUCACCAAAACCUAAACCUCCUUACUACUACCAAUCUCCACCUCCUCCAUCACCAAAACCUCAGCCUCCAUACUACUAUCAAUCUCCACCUCCUCCAACACCAGUUGUGAAGCCACCAUACUACUACCAAUCUCCACCUCCUCCAUCACCAAAACCUCAGCCUCCUUACUAUUACCAAUCUCCACCUCCUCCAACACCAGUUGUUAAGCCACCAUACUACUAUAAAUCUCCACCUCCCCCAUCACCCUCUCCUCCACCACCAUACUACUACAAAUCUCCACCACCACCAUCCCCAUCACCGCCACCUCCAUACUACUAUAAAUCUCCACCUCCACCAUCACCGGUUGUUAAGCCACCAUACUACUAUAAAUCCCCACCUCCCCCAUCACCCUCUCCUCCCCCUCCAUACUACUAUAAAUCUCCACCUCCAUACUACUACCACUCUCCACCUCCACCAUCACCAGUUGUUAAGCCACCAUACUACUACAAAUCUCCACCUCCACCAUCACCCUCACCUCCCCCUCCAUACUACUAUAAAUCUCCACCCCCACCUUCACCAUCCCCUCCUCCUCCAUACUAUUAUAAAUCACCACCACCACCAUCCCCAUCACCGCCACCUCCAUACUAUUACAAAUCCCCUCCACCUCCAUCCCCAUCUCCACCGCCUCCUUAUUACUAUCACAGUCCUCCUCCACCAUCUCCCACUCCUCAUCCUCCCUACUACUACAAAUCCCCUCCACCACCAACGUCCUAUCCUCCACCUCCUUACCACUAUGUGAGCCCUCCACCACCUUCUCCAUCUCCACCUCCACCAUACUAUUACAAAUCACCACCUCCUCCCUCCCCAGCCCCCGCUCCAAAGUACAUUUACAAAUCACCUCCACCUCCAGCUUACAUCUAUUCUUCCCCACCUCCACCCAUCUACAAGUAAGCUCGGAUUGUGGAAGCACCAUUCACCACAAAUCAUGUAAGUUCAGGAUUCCAACAUUGAUCAUAAGUAAAAUUAGUUAAUUAUACGUGUAUGAAUUUUAGUAAUGGAAAUUCCCACUGAAUUAUUUUUUCAGGUUCUAGUUUUCAUGGAGGAAUAAAGGCAAGCUCCAUUUGGAGUGAAGUGAAAUAUCUAUCUUCCUGUCCAAGUUCUUUGAAUAAUAAAAGUCUGAAUGUGUCAUCUCUGGGCUACAAUGUUUGUGAUUCAGACCCGGUUGGUUCAAUUUGUUUGAUGGCCAUCUUGCACGUCCUGAUCUUAUUGUGUUCAAGUGACGGACAAAUGAAAAAGAGGAAGAGAGAUUUAAAGUGUAAAUGCCAAGUGAAAGUGAAAAAGUACAGUCCACUCUUAGAGAUCUCUUAAAUUUAUUUGUUUAUAGGCCGUCUAUGAUUGCUUUUCUAUUUAUUGUGGAAUUUUUGUAUUGUACCAGUUGUUGUGUUUGCAAUAAGUAAUAGUAAUAAACCACCAAAUUCAGGUUUCCUAACUUUCCUUUAAAAUGAAUGAAUAAAUAAGAAGUAUAAAAAGUAUGAUACCACAACCCUUAUAUAACAAAACUACCUUAAGCUUAUUCUCUUUACCUUAAUCCUUACCUUAAACCUUAAACUCUGUUUCAAGACAACAAUUUGAAUACGAAAAACAUAUGUCACGCGUUGUAGACAUUAUUCAUUACCAAGUUUUCAACUGGGUCAGAGUAAAAAUUUCACAUCCUACACUUCUGAAAAUCCUCUUGUUAUUAUUCUUAUGUUACCACAAUUUUGGUUUCCUAAUAACCAUUUGCAUUUAUACCAUUCUCGAGAUAUCAAAUAGUACAUCAGAAAGAGUCUCUGCCUGAUGCCUAUCAAACUCAAUAUCUGCCCACUAUGAUGAUUCUUUAGAAGGCACCAGCUAAAGUUUCUGCAUGUUUGAACUUUGCUCAUAAACAGAUAAGAUAAACAAACAAUUGACAUAAAUUAUUUGGACUCAACACCAAAUCACGUUUCCUUCUUGGAAUCUUUGCUCAUUUCUUUUGUAGUACGUACCAAUUAUUAAUUAUUAAUUUAACUAUAAGUCUUCUUCUUCUUCUAGCCAUAUCCAAGCAGGUCCCAUUAUCUAAUUAAAUAGCCCCCAAUAAUCUGAUCAAAUCCACAUAACUGAUUCGUGGACCCUUUCUUCCUUCUAAUUCAUGCAAUUUCCCUAAAGUUACAAAAACUAAUUUCACACUGCUACUAACAACCACAGCAUCAGCAUCUUAAUUAUUUCAUUUACCAUGUCACAAAAUUUGAAGUUGUGAUGAUGACAAGUUCUAAGAUUAUUUAAAUAUGAAUCAGUAGUUUGAAUUUAUAUAAGCUAUCACUAACGCAUGAUUUAGUUAUGAUUUGAAUUAGUCAUUGACAGAUACUGAUAAUUUUUAACAGUAUUAAUUAUCAUCCUGAGUUGUAUUAAGCUCAAAUGUGUACCUAACAAAGGCAACUAAAAAUUAAAGAAAGGAAUUCACAAGCACUAAUUAUUGCUGUGUUUACAAGAAAACAAAAAAAGUGGUCUUCCAACUAAUAUAAGAGAAAGUGGCAACUUGCUAUAUAAAGGGAAACAUAAAGAUAGAAAAGGGUUGAAAUGCUAAUUUGUUAUGGGUGCUGUCAUGCAUCAAUUCUGAUUAAUCUAAAUUUUUGAAGUUAUAUAAAACUACAAAGAGAACGAUGGCGCACCGAACAAUCAUUAUAAAGAAGAGGUCUACCCACUAUUUGAGGAACUGCUCAUCAUCACUUAAUGUAAAGAAUAACUUUUUAAUAUUUUAUAACUUUUCAAACUACUAAUUAAAUAAAUGAGCAUAAAAUAAUUUGUAUGCUUGAACCAAUAAUGUUUUCUGAAAAAAAAAACACUAUUGUGAUGCUGAUGUUUAAUAAACAACUGUAUUAAGAAAUGGGUUUUUCAAUUAUCAUUUUAAGAAUUAUUUGGUUGUUUUCAAGAGGGGUUUCUAGGAAGGAAAGGAUGGGGUUGGGAAAGGAUUAAUUAAGUAACCUUUUGCUUUGGGGGUGUUUUUUUUUAUCAUCAACAAUAAUGAAUAAAUAAAUAUUGAUCACUUUAGGGGUGAUCCAACUCUUAUACAACAUACUAAAACAGUCGGCCAACAUAAUACUAUCUAAACUACUCAAAAGUCAUCUAAACUACUCUAAAACAAGAAGCUCCAGAACGAGAAACAAACCAUAAGUUCAAGACACCAAUCUGAAUAAGAAAAACAAGCAGAUGAAAUUUUAAAGGAAAUCCAAGAUCAAACUUUCAAUUGAGUUAGAGAAAACGUCUCUGAAUGAUGCGUCACUCCACCUUUAAAGAUGACAUUGUUCCUAAGACAGAAAAUCUCACUAACCAUCACAAUUCAAACAUUUUUCAAAAUCAAAUUAACAGAAUUAGGUGCAUUACACAGGUUGCUGGCAAGAAACUUGUAUUUCCAAACAAAGGGAGUGACAAAAUUUGUACUCUGUUGGUAGAAGAAUGAAGUACUAUAUUCUUGCAGCUGUACAUUUAUCUAAUAGAUGCAUGCACUGUUUUCCCAAGGUUGUUUCCAUUUUCUGUCUGUAUCACAUAUAUUAAGCAAAAUGUUCAUUCUGCUGGAUGCAGUAUUAUGCUGCAGAGAUUCUGCUUUUGGCUUAUUUUGUCUUAUGAGCUUUGAUUCUCUAAACCUUUUUGUAAAGAGUUGGAGAGCAUACCUUAAAUGCUUCAAUUCUAUUUAUUUCAUUCUUUCCCAAUAAAAGAAAAGGAAUUGUUCAUGUGAGAAAUAUUGGAAUCCUAUUAAGGUAUUUUUAUAACCAAUGUGAAGAAAUUUGGUCUGUAGUUAAUUUCAGUUAAGGUUUAUUGUCAUGGCUGAUUUUGAUUUUUACUCUUUGUAAACAACUGAAAUAAUUUACAACUAGCAUUAUGGAUAAUAAUCUUACAUUAGCAUAGGAUCCUAUUGUCAUUUUCACUUCUUCACACUACUAUUGCAGCAAAAUGGCAUAAUGUUGCAGUAGUUUGCACCAUCUUAGUCUCUUAAAGAUCCUUUUUUCUGUGCUCAUGUGAUGUAUGACAGAAGAUAUGCUGCCACUGAAAAAGAGGUUCUGCUUCUUCAUAUUUCACAAUCUUGUUGCACCUCAUGAGGUGUGUGAUUCAAAAAGUUAUUACAUAUAAAUACUAAUUAAUGGGAUGAAUUAUAUAAUAAUUAGAUAAUAAUAUUAGAAUAAGGACUAGUGUUUAAUCUCUAAUUUUUUUCUUAUUCUAAACAUACAUGUAACCAUGUUUAGAAAGUUAUUUGGUUUACGCAAUAACUAUAAGUGUGAAAAAUUUAAACUACUUUUUCAUCAUAUUUGGUUAAAGACAAAGUUUUAUUGUUUAAUCUGAUACCAUAUGAUGUUGUAUAUUUUUAUCAUUUACCUUCAUCAUCUUCACCCAAUAGUAAUGAUAAUAAUAUAGUAACCACAUGAAAUAUUUUAAUAUUUUAAUAUUUGAUAUUUUAUUGUUUAACUAUUAUAUUAUUUCACCUAGUUUUGUUUUGUUUUUAAAAGCAAAAAAUUACAAAAACAUAUAGUGUAAUUUUCGUAAUGAUAAUAAUUUAAAAAAUAAAUAAAUACUUCAACAUUACAAUAAAAUCAUUAGAAACUAAUUUUAAACCUAAAAUAAUUACUUACUAUUUGACGAUCACUUUAUAAAUUAAAAUAUUAUUGGUAUCUAAAGUAAUUUUUAUUAUUAAUAAAAAUACAUCAUUACCAAAAUUUUAGUUCCUUAUUAUUUAUUAAUCUUUUAAAGAUCAAAUUAAAAUUUAAAAUAUUAAUAGUUAAAAUCUUGAUCCUUAAUUUAGAUACUAAUUUAUAAUUUAUAUUAUUUUUUAUUAAUAAUAAAAUUAGUUUAAAUACGAAUAAUUUUUUAGUUUCAUUAUCUAAUUUAGUCUAUUAAUUAUUAUUUUUAUCUUAAAAUUUGGUUUGAUGGUUUGUUACAGUAGAAGUUCAUUUUUAUUGAAGUUUGAUUUGGUUCUACGUGUUAUGUUUUAGAAAUUUAAUUUCUUAGCGUCACUUUGGUCAUACGUGGUUCAUUCAGAUUGAGAGGCUAUGAGCCCAAUGGGCAAGCACCCAUUUCCUCUAAGAAUUAUUUUUCCUGCACCCCUACGUUUUUCUUUCUGCACCCCAUAAUUUUAAAAAUUCCAAAAUUGAUUUUGACCUUGACCCUUUAUUUAGAAAAGGACACCGUGAAAUGUGCUACGGACUCAUUAAUAAUAGUAUAAAUUAUUAUGUUAUACUCUAAUCGAUAUGAAUUAUAAAAACGUUAAAUCUCAGAAAAACUAUUUAAAAAAUAUUAAAAUUAAAAUACCAACUCACUCAAUGUAUACUUUUUUAUUAUGAAUAGAAAUAGUUCAAUCCUUGUUGGAUUAUAAACAUUUUCCUGAUUUUGAAAAAUAAAUAAGUAGCAAAUGAAUGAAGUGGAAGGGAUUAAUGGAACUGUAGGAUGACAAAGACUAAAUUAAUAAUUUACAAAAUUAAAAACCAAUUCAAUAAAUUGUUAUUAAUAUAAUGAAUUGAUGUUUUUGAUUUUUUCAUAUAACAAUUGGUGAAGUUCUGAGGUAGACAAGUUGUCGCCCAACAAACUUUGACACUUCUUCUCAGAACAAGUGGUAGACCAUACAUGCAUCCUUAUUCUAAACAAAAAAAAAACAUCAAAUGUUUCAAAAAAAAACUCAAUAUUAUCCAUACCGAUGUGAUAAUGUCGUAUUCAAAAAAAAAAAAUUAUACCAAUUUGUUUUACACUAAAAAAAAUCCAAACUUUCUUCAAAUGGGAGUAAAAUACUAAACUUUCCUUUUCUCUUGACCGAGUCAACUUUCUGAACCCACUUUGCUUGCAAUGAAAAAAUGUAAUUUUUUUGACUUAAUCGUUAUGGGAAAGAAGAUUGACUGAUACAAAGUUGGAACAGAUAUGAAAAGAACCUGAACUGUUUACAGUGGUGUCACGUUAUUACCAUGAAAGUAGAUUAAAACAAACCUCAAAAGGUUAUUAUUCUUCAAUUCCCUUCACGUAAGUUGCAGUGUGGAUACUGUGAAUUUUCUUUGCUUUCAACUGGGACCUGUAGAAAGAGAAAAUGACUGCAAACAAGAAAGACACCCUUUGGAUUUCUCUUUCUCUCUCUCUCUCUCUUUCCCUCGUAAUUUUAUUUUUGAGACAACUCACAGAAGUCUUGCAAGUUGUAACCUUCAGUUUCUGGUUUCAGCCGACUAGUUUGAUCAGGUUCCGUCUACCCAGAUCUACUUUUGCCACAAUUUAUUCACUUUUUUCAUUUCUUGGAUCUAUUGCAUCUCUUGGGUAUCCUUAUUCUAUCUCAAUUUGAAGUCUUUCAUGCCAAGCUUCUUCUGGGAUCCCUUUUGAUCUUCUUUGUUGCUUAGUUUCUCGUAUAAUUUGCUCCUUGCUUCUUCUUCUGGCUUACUAUUUAUAAAGAUUUUAUCUUUUAUCGUUUCUUAUAAUUAUUUGUUAUCUUGGUAUUUACGUUUAGUUAUGAUGGUGCCCCUCUUUAAGUUUUCAAUGUUCUUUCCAAUUCAACUUUGCUUGAAAGAUUAUAUUAUACAGUGUCCUAUUUUUUUUUCCUCUGUGAUUUUAUUCAUGGUCCUUUGUUUUAUGUCUUUCCAUGCUUUCUAGUACAAUUUCGGAUUGUCUGAACUUUGAUUGCUGUUAGAAACGAUGGGGAUGAAGUGAAAUUCAUGAGGUUUGACCCUGCAUAGCAUUGUCAUUUGCAUGUUUGAGAAUUUGGAUUGAUCUCUGAAAGUUCAUGUAAGACUUAUUUUCAGAUAGUGAUGUUGGUUCUUUCUCCGUAGUAGAAUUUGGCAUGCAACUAUAGUUGAGUUCUGAUGUUGCUUCCAUGUCCAAACUCCCAAGUAGUAAAGGCUUACAAUUUUACUUCUUAUAUAUUUCAUGCCCAUUUGCCCUAUUUGUUUAAUCAUAUAUUGUGCAGACAUUGUACUUCUUGUUUCUUCUUUGAUGAAUUAGUCAACUCUAAAUGAUUGGUUUGGUUACUUUAAACUUCUAUCUUAGUACAAGUAAAGAAUACUGAUUGGAAAAUAUAUAUUUUUCUUGAAUUGUGCAUGACAAAUGUUUGAAAUGGGCUUUAUUUCUACUUGGCAGUUAAGCGUGGUUUUGGCAGGCUAAUUCUGAAAACCGGCUAGAAUGAAGAAGGCCAUUGGUCAAACUGUUAGGGAACUGUGAGUCUAACUGUUUAGGGUGGUGUUUGUUACUAUUUUUUAACUCAGCCCUAUUUCAUAAUUCCUCACUAUCUUCAUUGUCCUUGCAGUAAAAGAGAAGUAAAUAAGAAAGUGCUUAAAGUUCCUGGGAUAGAACAGAAGGUAAAUUUUGUUCGCUUAACAUUUACUGUAAAACUGAAUUGCAUAUAAUAUAACUCAUUGCAAAGACAAUGGUGUGAGGAUUUAUGUGAAGUCUGCAAUCUGAAUUUACUUUUCUAAUAUUUGCUCACAAAAGAAAUUGUUUGUUGACUAUCUUGGAGCUUACACAUUAUAAUCUUACUGUGCAAAUUUUAAUUAGACUCGUCUCUCGUCUCUUCCAGAUUCUUGAUGCUACCAGCAAUGAAGCCUGGGGUCCUCAUGGAUCACUUCUAGCAGAUAUUGCUCAGGCUACCAGAAAUUAGUAAGCUUGAACUCAUCAUUUAUGCUUGAUAUUGUAUACAAAUAUCUCACUUUUGAGCUCCCUUGCAGUCAUGAAUACCAAAUUAUCAUGGAAAUAAUCUGGAAGCGGAUUAAUGACACAGGCAAGAAUUGGCGGCAUGUCUAUAAGGUUUGUGGAACUUUUUUAUGUUUUAGAUGGAAUUACUCUUGGAAUCUCUUUUUUCUUUUGUUUAUUGUCAUAACAACACUCUUCUGUUUUGACCUUCAAUAUGCAUCCGUGAACUGAAGUACACUAUUUAUGAAAUUUUCUCAAUACUUAUUUACAAACAACUAAUGGUUCUUGCCUUUCAAGAACUCUGUCUAGUAUGUUUAUGCAUUUAUUUCUGAUCAUGCCCUCUUGGAAAAGAAUGGCUCUUACAUUUUUGUAUUAAAUGUUCAACAACAGGCUUUGACAGUAUUAGAAUAUGUGGUGGCUAAUGGGUCAGAGCGAGUCAUAGAGGAGAUUAGGGAGCAUGCCCACCAAAUAUCGGUAAUUUCCUGUCAAUUGAAACAUUUAUAAACUGUUUAGUAUUUUUCAUUCAAACUAUUAAUAUUAUUGAAAUGAUCUAAAAAUUAGAAUGCAGCUUGAUAAUGUUGUAAAUGUUCAUAUCAACAGACAUUGUCCAAUUUUCAAUAUAUUGAUUCCAGUGGAAGAGACCAGGGAAACAAUGUCAGGAAGAAAUCACAGAAUCUCAUUCUCCUUGUGAAUGAUAAAGAAAGAAUCAUAGAGGUUAGACAGAAGGCUGCUGCUAACAGGGACAAGUAAUUCUCCUCUUAUUAGUCUGUUUUUUUAUAUAUAUUUUGAACUUUGUUAUUUUCCAGUUGCUAUAAAAACUUAUGUCUUCUGCCUUGCUGGGGAAGAAAAUAUAUUUCUUUUCCCUGUAUUUUGUAAUAUCCAUCCAUUGUGUAUUUGAAUUUCUUUUGGGUUUCUAGAUCACAAAUGUAAAAUCACAGAGUAUAUUAUGUAAAUAUGUAUGUGGGUUAAUCCGGAGGAGAUAUGUAAUGUAAUUGCCCAGCAUGAUUCACCAGGUUUCGCGCCAGUUCAACAGGUGGAAUGUACAGGCCUGGUUCUCAUUCUAGCAGUGGGGCUUAUGGUGAUAGAUAUGAAGAUGAUCGUUAUAGAAGCAGGGAGGAAGAUAGAAGUGAUCAUGGCUAUGGCAGAGAAAGAGAGUGGGGCUAUAGAGAUGAUGAUCGGUAUAGUCGUGAAGGAGAUCGUUAUGGCAGAGAUAAUGAGGAAAGCUACAGAAAAGAUGGCUAUAGGGAUGAUGAGUACCAUAGAAGAAGUGUUGAUGAUGGCCAAUAUGGCUCAAGAAGCAGGAGCUCUGACAGAGAUCAUGAUCAUAAUGUUGAUGAUGAUGGUCAGCGUUCAUCUGGGUACGUGCCUGAGAUAGCCAAAAAAAAACAUCUAACAAAAUCUGAAAUAGAUAAUGUUUUUAUUUUUCAUAAUUAUAGUUCUUGGGGUUCAUUUGGUUUUGGAUCUUAGACUCUUAUUAGUUGUUAUGAUCUGUAUAUAUAUAUAUGCAUAUUAGAUGUAAAAAACUUAGACUACUUCAAAAGACAAGUACACAGCAUAAUCCGUAUUAGCUUUGAUGUUAGGAUUCAUGGUUGCACAACAUUCCUCUCUCAUUCUGCUUACUCCAUCCUUUUUUACAAUGUUGUCUCAGAGGUAGCAUUGCUAAAGCUGAAGCUCAUUCAAUGGAAGGAAGGUAAAUCAUCCCUCUCUCUCAUAUCACACACAUAUCCAUGCAUAAUGGCCAUUUAGCAUUAUUUUGGAUGACCAUAUGCAAUUCCAUGGGCAGGUUAGAGCAGAAACUUUCUGAGCAAAAUGUGGGUGCUCCUCCCAGUUAUGAAGAAGCUCUUUCUCAAAGCCCUUUACACAAUGAAAGGUAUGAAUUUAAUAAUACCGAGAUUAUCUAUUCCAAUUCCGAACAUAUUUGUUACUAUAUCACUUUGAUUGAAGGGAUGGGGGAAUUUCAGCUGCAAAAGCCUCUUCUCCUGUAAGUGACAAUCCUACACAAACAGCUGCUGCUGCCAGUACUGCAACAUCUGGAAACCCAGAAUCUAAGGCUUUUGAUGAAUUUGAUCCUCGUGGUCAUCCUGCAUCAGGUGUGGCAAGUUCUUUGUUUUGAAAAUUGAGUACACAUGUUGAAGUUUAUUAUUUUUAAUUGUCCUUUUUCUACUUCAUGUCAGGUUCGACACUCACAUAUAUGUAUGUGUCCAAUGAAAUAUAUUUAUAAUUAUCAACAUAUGAUAGCAAAUUUUUAUUGUAUGUUUCUUAUUAGCUGCCCGAGCUCCUGCUAGUAAUGUUGAACUGGACUUGUUCGGCUCCCUAUCUGAACCAUUCUCUUCAAAUGCAUUGGCUCCUGUGUCUUCUGCACCAGAAACAACAACCUCUCAAGGCAACACAAACCUUGAUUCAACUGUGGCCUUUGCACCACCACCAUCUGCUACUAAUAAUUUCAAUACGGUAGGAAUUUGCUUUUUUGUUUAUACCUUGACUCUAAGAAAGUAUUUGAAUACGCUGUAUUAUUUAAUAAGAAUGAAUUUUUGUGUAUGGCUUGGAAUGAUUUUCUUGCAUGCUUAGGUGGGUAGCUUCAACUUAAGAAAUGUAGCGUAUUAAAUACUGUAACUUCUGUAAAACAUUAAUUUAAUUUGUAUCCUUUG